CCUACGGGAGGCAGCAGUGAGGAAUAUUGGUCAAUGGACGAGAGUCUGAACCAGCCAAGUAGCGUGAAGGAUGACUGCCCUAUGGGUUGUAAACUUCUUUUAUAAAGGAAUAAAACGAGGCACGUGUGCCUUUUUGCAUGUACUUUAUGAAUAAGGAUCGGCUAACUCCGUGCCAGCAGCCGCGGUAAUACGGAGGAUCCGAGCGUUAUCCGGAUUUAUUGGGUUUAAAGGGAGCGUAGAUGGGUUGUUAAGUCAGUUGUGAAAGUUUGCGGCUCAACCGUAAAAUUGCAUUUGAUACUGGCAGUCGUGAGUACAGUAGAGGUAGGCGGAAUGCGUGGUGUAGCGGUGAAAUGCUUAGAUAUCACGAAGAACCCCGAUUGCGAAGGCAGCUUAAUGGACUGGAACUGACAUUGAUGCUCGAAAGUGUGGGUAUCAAACAGGAUUAGAUACCCUUGUAGUC
rnacentral:rRNA from 1 species